GGUCUGUGGACCCGCCCAUGUAUCAUCACAGAUUCUGGAUGCUAAUACUGUGUAUUCAGUUCAAUGGAUGGCUGUGAGCCUGUACAUCUGUAUUACUCAGGCCCUCAGUGAAUUGGACCAUUACUGCUUCUACUAGUCGGAGAAGAAUUUUACAAUCGGGAUAUGGGUUAGAAGUAUAAUCUCUCUGGAAACCCCUCAUGCAUGUGCAUGGAAACAUGAUUUUGUCAGCUACUUCAUCAAGUUGAAGUAUGAAAUUAAGCAUUCAACCCUUUAAGACUGAAUUCUACUUUCUAGAAUGCAGUGUACCAUACAUCCUUGGUUAGAACUCUAUUUUGGGAAAAUCAUAUGUGAUUUGGAUGAAAAUGAAGCACAGGAUGCUUUGAAUGGCCAAGACUAUCAGAAGAUAGAGACUUCUACAUCACCUCACCAGCUCUUCCUUUGGUUUUGGUGUUGGGCAGACAUACCAGAGAUUGGAGACACUGUUCCUAAGUCCAGCAUUUAAGGUUUGAACAUCAAAACUUCAGUCAAGCCCUGAGCCUUCUAAGCAUCCAGAGACUGACAACAGAUGCUAAAGCUAGAUUUUGAAUGAACUGGGAAAAACUAGCAGAAGGAUGCCAAUGUCUCUCUGAAGUUAUUCAAGCAGAGCCUCCAGUUGCCUAAGAAAAUAAUUGGUUCUCUCAUUAUAUAUUACUGUCCAUGUUAUGUCUAGUUUGAAUCCGAUUUAUAUACAACCAUCAAAUGUUUGAUGUUGAUUGACUAUGCGGGAAUUGUAAGAUGCAGAAGUCAACUGGUUACCUGAGCUCCGAGGGGAAAGUUUUGAUGGAGGCAUGCCAUUUAGACCUGUGAGUUCCAAGCUCUCUUUUUCUGUGUAAUGUCUGGCUGUGGCUCAUUGUGUUUGUUCCCAUCUGCUGCAAGAGGAAGCUUCUCUGAUGAUGGCUGAACAAGGGA